GGAAAUACACAUCCUUAGGAUUGUCUGGG
rnacentral:piRNA from 1 species